AGCGAACGCUGGCGGAAGGCUUAACACAUGCAAGUCGAACGCCCCUUUUGGGGGGAGCGGCAGCCGGGUGAGUAACGCGUGGGAAAGUGCACACCGGUUCGGGAUAACCCAGGGAAACUCGGGCUAAUACAGGAUAUGACAGUGCGGUGAAAGCACUUCGCCGAUGGAUCGGCGCGCGUCUGAUUAGCGGGUUGGUAGGGGGACGGCCUACCAAGGCGACGAUCAGUACCUUGGCUGAGAGGAGGAUCAGCCACACGGGCACUGGGAGACGGCCCAGACUCCUACGCGAUGGAGCAAUCGGUGAUAUUGGACAAUAGGCUGAAGCCAGAUCCAGCCAUGCCUCGCGAGUGAUGAAGGCCCUAGGGUUGUGGAGCUCUUUCGCACGCGACAAUAAUGACGGUAGCGUGAGAAGAAGCCCCGGCUAACUUCGUGCCAGCCGCCGCGGUAAAAC
rnacentral:rRNA from 1 species